rnacentral:rRNA from 1 species
UACGGAGGGUACAAGCGUUAUCCGGAUUUACUGGGUUUAAAGGGUGCGUAGGUGGGUCUGUAAGUCAGUGGUGAAAUCUCCGAGCUUAACUCGGAAACUGCCAUUGAUACUAUAGAUCUUGAAUUAUCUGGAGGUAAGCGGAAUAUGUCAUGUAGCGGUGAAAUGCUUAGAUAUGACAUAGAACACCAAUUGCGAAGGCAGCUUACUACGGAUCGAUUGACACUGAGGCACGAAAAGCGUGGGGGAUCAAACAGG